AUUUCCACCAUCACCAAUAAACCACAAAGACAUGCACCACGAAGACAUGCACGAGGUAUAUUGAUUUAGAUGUAGAUGUUAAAUCGAAGAAUAAAGAUGCAGGGUUAUUGAUUUAGGUGUUAUAUGGGUUAUUUUUUAAUUUUAAUGUUGUAAUUUUUUUUGGUUUUUUAUUGUAAUUUUUUUUUUUGAUUUUAAUGUUGGAAUUUUAGUUUUGUGUAAUUUGAUUAAUUUAGUUCUUUUAAAUUGGAAUUGUUGUAUGAGUAAUUUAGUUGUAGUUAUUAAUUUAGUUUUUUCACUCUUAAAAAGUGUACAAUUACUAGAUACUGAUGAAUAUAUAUGUGUUUUUAUGUA